UUAGCAGGCUGCGUCCCGGUCUCCUUAUGGGUUUUGAAAUUCCAUUAAAUAUAUUGCUCGCAAGCUCCCAGGUUAAGCUUGAUUUAAAUUUGCAUACAUUUUCAUACAUUUAGGAGAAAUAAAAGAAGGCUGCGGCAGCCACCAGAAAGUCAUUAAAGAGCGUCGAGCCGAGGAGCAUGGUUCGUGCAGACGGAGGACAGGCGGAGGGGGGAGAAGGAGAGGAAGAGGAGGCCGGAGCAGUGUUUAGGGUUUAGGAGGAGGAAUCACAUUGGACACACCAAUGAGUGAGUGUACACGGAGCUCAAGCUCAUCCCAUGAGAUCACACAAGUGUGCUGGUUUGCAGAAGUAUAUUGUCCAUGGGUCAGUGAAGGAGCCACGAGUGGAGAAGAGCUCAGGGUUGAGGCCUCUCCUGGCGCCAUCCGGCACCAUGAAGCAAGAGAAGGGGCAUGGGGAGCAGGAAGAAGAGGAGAGAGUUGUUGCAAAAAAGAAGAAACCCCCCCCCCAACUUGCUGAACAACCUCGCACUUUCUCUCUCUCUUCUUCAAUUAUAAAAAUCAAAUGUAGUCAAUGUUUAAUGAACAACCCGGGUGAAUUUCAUGAGAGAAUUAGCUUCAAGUUGUCUGCCACAGCUAAAAAGCUAACCAACACAAGUUCCCCUGUGGCCCACACAGACACACACAUACACACACACAUACACACACACACACACACACACACACAGGUCGCUCUGAAGGAGCAGGCGGAGCUGGCAGUCGCACAUCUGCAUUUCAAACACAGACUCUCUGGGAUUCAUUAUUAAUUAGCCCGCUGAGCCCUGGAGGACUAGUGAUGCUGCUAUCACACACACACACACACACACACACACGCACACACACACACACACGCACACACACACACACACACACACACACACACCUCGUGACCCCUUUGCCCCCUCUGCUCUACGGCUAGAGAGUCCUCACCAGAAUACUGAGCUGCACAGAAGCUUUCCUCGCUCCGAUCACACCCCUCCUCCUGAUUUCCCGGCCUUAAUGUGAGUUAAAGGAUGAUGAAUUACGGGAGUCGAUAGUUUUAUUCAUCCAAACGCAAGGUAAACGCGUUCAAAAUACAAUAAUAUGUUUGGAGUUGUUGAGCACAGCAGACGCGUGCUACAGGACACAUGUGAGUAGACUAGAGACGCCUGAAGAGCAUCAAUAAACAUUACAAAACUCC